rnacentral:rRNA from 1 species
GACGAACGCUGGCGGCGUGCUUAACACAUGCAAGUCGAACGGAAAGGCCCUGCUUUUGUGGGGUGCUCGAGUGGCGAACGGGUGAGUAACACGUGAGUAACCUGCCCUUGACUUUGGGAUAACUUCAGGAAACUGUGGCUAAUACCGGAUGCGAGCUCCUGCUGCAUGGUGGGGUUUGGACAGUUUCGGCGGUUGGGGAUGGACUCGCGGCUUAUCAGCUUGUUGGUGGGGUAGUGGCUUACCAAGGCUUUGACGGGUAGCCGGCCUGAGAGGGUGACCGGCCACAUGGGGACUGAGAUACGGCCCAGACUGCUACGGGAGGCAGCAGUGGGGAAUAUUGCACAAUGGGCGGAAGCCUGAUGCAGCAACGCCGCGUGCGGGAUGAAGGCCUUCGGGGUGUAAACCGCUUUCGCCUGUGACGAAGCGUGAGUGACGGUAAUGGGUAAAGAAGCACCGGCUAACUACGUG